UGUUUUUUUAUUUUUUUCUGACUUUUAAAAAUCUAUAUUUUGCCUGAAAAUUUUUAAAAUAUUUUUAGGAGAGUACCGUUAAUAGAGAGAGCAAAAUAACCAAAUGACCCUUACUUCUUCUAUAAAAGAAUAACUUUUUAAUAUAGUUCUGUAAUUUUGAAGGAUAUUUAAAUAUAAAUUAUAAGAAAUAAAUAAAAUAGUGAUGGAAUCCUGAAUUGUAAUUUGAUAAUAAUGUUUAGGCAGUGUUUGGUUUGGAAACUAGGGGGGAAAUAGGGGUUAUUCCCCCUUUGUUCCCGAAACAAGAAAGGGGCUAAGGUGGGAACAACUAUUCCCACCUGAGAGUGGAACUACGCGUUCCCACCUCUCUCGCCCCACUGUUGCCCCUCUCUCUCGCCGAAGCUACCGUUCCCCUUUCCACUUCCUCUUCCAUCCACGGUUUACUGUGCGCGUUCGAUCGACGAUCUUCUUCCUGUUGGCUUAAAUGGGCCAGCAUCCUGCCCUGUGGCUGGAGGCCAUGUGGGCCGAGUCAUAUUCGAAAUGGCGUGAGGCUGGGUUGGGCCGAGUCAUGAUCGAAGUGGCGUGAGGCCAGGUGGACCAAGUUACAAUCGAGACCCAUGGGCGCUGUUUCUGUACGCUUUAAGUAAAUUGGUUGCGUAUUUCUAACAGCUCGAGCUUUUGGGAUUAAUGGUUAGCGCCAACGAUCCGACAAGUGGUAUCAGAGACAGAGGUCACGGGUUCGAUUUCUGCAUGCUGCAAAUGUGUGCACGUGCUGGAGGGGGGAUUGUUGGCCUAAAUGGGCCAGCAUCCUACCCUGUGGCGAGAGGCCAUGUGGGCCGAGUCAUGUUCGAAAUGGCGUGAGGCUUGGUUGGGCCGAGUCAUGUUCGAAGUGGCGUGAGGCCAGGUGGGCCGAGUUACAAUCGAGACCCAUGGGCGCUAUUUCUGUACACUUUAAGUGAAUUGGUUGCGUAUUUCUAACAGCUCGAGCUUUUGGGAUUAAUGGUUAGCACCAACGAUCCGACACUUCCAUCCUUCGACAGAUCUGAUGCCAUCGGAUCUCCUAAUGCUACCUCCUCUUCCUCCUCGGAUCUCCUAAUGCUACCUCCUCUUCCUCCUCGGCACCGUCCCUCUCUCUCCGAAGCUGUCGCUCCCAUUUCCUCUUCCUCUUAACUCCGUGGUUUACUGUGCGCGUCCGAUCUACGAGCUUUUUCUAUCCUUUGACAGAUCUAGUGCCACCGGAUCUCCUACGGCUACCUCCUCUUCCUCCUCCGCACCGCUUUGCCUCUCCUCCUCCCCGCUCGGCUUCGUCCUACUCCUCG
rnacentral:lncRNA from 1 species